rnacentral:rRNA from 1 species
UACGUAGGGUGCAAGCGUUGUCCGGAAUUAUUGGGCGUAAAGAGCUCGUAGGCGGUCUGUCACGUCGGCUGUGAAAUCCCGAGGCUCAACCUCGGGUCUGCAGUCGAUACGGGCAAACUAGAGUAUUGCAGGGGAGACUGGAAUUCCUGGUGUAGCGGUGAAAUGCGCAGAUAUCAGGAGGAACACCGGUGGCGAAGGCGGGUCGCUGGGCAAUAACUGACGCUGAGGAGCGAAAGCGUGGGUAGCAAACAGG